AGUUGCGAUCAUACCCGCACUAAUGGACCGGAUCACAUCAGAACUCCGCAGUUAAGCGAGCUUGGGCGUGAGUAGUACUAGGAUGGGUGACCCCCUGGGAAGUCCUCGUGUUGCAACCC
rnacentral:rRNA from 1 species